UCAAUACUCAUCUGCUAUUGUACUUUCUCACUGUGUGGCUAUGGAACCAUCGGUGUCAGCACUGGAACUUUCUGUUAUUCUCAUCCAGGGGCGAGAUGGUUCCAAUCCUUGCCUCAGCCUCUCCACCCGGCUCACUGAGGUCCAAUGAUCUUACCCUGGAAGAGAUAUUCCUCUGUGUUCAUGUCGGGAUUGUCAGUGAUGAUAUCGAAGGGGGAUCGGCCUGCCAUCAUUUCAAACAUGAGCACGCCCAGGGCCCACCAGUCUACACUGAACCCUGACAGAGAGGAAUAAAGAGUAGAGUUCACAUUUCAAGGCAAAACAUUUUCACAUCUCACCGACUCUCUGUUUGAAAACAGGAGUGAAGUCCC